rnacentral:snoRNA from 1 species
AGUUUGCCAUGAUGAAAUGCAUGUUAAGUUCAUGUUUCAGCUGAUCGUCCGAUUAAACACAUGCUCUGAGCAGACU